GGCAGCAGUGUCUUUUGUGAGUUCAGCAAACCUUAUGGCAACCCCUCUUACAUUAUCCUUGGGGAGCUGAAGGACAGCUAGCUGUAUGACUGGCAGGUAACAACCUGGCACUGGACUGGGAAGUAAAACUGAUCUACAGGUGACAGAAUUACGAUGCAAAAAGAUCUUAUGAUCAAAAGGCCUGAAACUGUGUCCAGGACUCAUUGAAUUUAAUGGUGAUAAACAUAAGACUCUGCCAUCUGGGACAAGGACACUGUGCAGGGCUGAGAGACUCAUGGGGCUUCUGGAUGAAGCAUUGGAUGAAGCCCAUGCAUGGUAUCUUGGAAGGAAGCUGUUGGGACAUUUCAUGAUUGAGUGUCAUGUCAGAAACACGGACUGUUGUCUCUGGAGGCAGCAGAGUCCUGUGGGGAUGUGAAUCAGACCAUGGCUGGGGUAUGGAAACAACCUAGGUGUUCAUCCACUGAUAAAUGGAAAAUGAAAACCUUGAAAGUAUACAGAGUGGAAUUUUAUUAGAAUAUAAGGAAAAUGAUA
rnacentral:sRNA from 1 species